AUUGAACGCUGGCGGCAGGCCUAACACAUGCAAGUCGAGCGGAGCGACGGACGGGUGAGUAAUGCCUAGGAAUCUGCCUGGUUGUGGGGGGUAACGUCCGGCAACGGGCGCUAAUACCGCAUACUAUCAGAUGAGCCUAGGUCGGAUUAGCUAGUUGGUGGGGUAAAGGCCUACCAAGGCGACGAUCCGUAACUGGUCUGAGAGGAUGAUCAGUCACACUGGAACUGAGACACGGUCCAGACUCCUACGGGAGGCAGCAGUGGGGAAUAUUGGACAAUGGGCGAAAGCCUGAUCCAGCCAUGCCGCGUGUGUGAAGAAGGUCUUCGGAUUGUAAAGCACUUUAAGUUGGGAGGCGUUACCAACAGAAUAAGCACCGGCUAACUUCGUGCCAGCCGCCGCGGUAAUUC
rnacentral:rRNA from 1 species